AACGAACGCUGGCGGCAUGCCUAACACAUGCAAGUCGAACGAGACCUUCGGGUCUAGUGGCGCACGGGUGCGUAACGCGUGGGAACCUGCCCUUAGGUUCGGAAUAACUCCCCGAAAGGGGUGCUAAUACCGGAUAAUGUCUUCGGACCAAAGAUUUAUCGCCUUUGGAUGGGCCCGCGUUGGAUUAGCUAGUUGGUAGGGUAAAAGCCUACCAAGGCGACGAUCCAUAGCUGGUCUGAGAGGAUGAUCAGCCACACUGGGACUGAGACACGGCCCAGACUCCUACGGGAGGCAGCAGUGGGGAAUAUUGGACAAUGGGCGAAAGCCUGAUCCAGCAAUGCCGCGUGAGUGAUGAAGGCCUUAGGGUUGUAAAGCUCUUUUACCCGGGAUGAUAAUGACCGUACCGGGAGAAUAAGCUCCGGCUAACUCCGUG
rnacentral:rRNA from 1 species